rnacentral:rRNA from 1 species
GACGAACGCUGGCGGCGUGCUUAACACAUGCAAGUCGAACGAAGAGCGACGGAAGCUUGCUUCUAUCACUCUUAGUGGCGAACGGGUGAGUAACGCGUAAUCAACCUGCCCUUCAGAGGGGGACAACAGUUGGAAACGACUGCUAAUACCGCAUACGAUCUAAUCUCGGCAUCGAGGAUGGAUGAAAGGUGGCCUCUACAUGUAAGCUAUCACUGAAGGAGGGGAUUGCGUCUGAUUAGCUAGUUGGAGGGGUAACGGCCCACCAAGGCGAUGAUCAGUAGCCGGUCUGGGAGGAUGAACGGCCACAUUGGGACUGAGACACGGCCCAGACUCCUACGGGAGGCAGCAGUGGGGAAUCUUCCGCAAUGGACGAAAGUCUGACGGAGCAACGCCGCGUGAGGGAUGACGGCCUUCGGGUUGUAAAGCUCUGUUAAUCGGGACGAAAGGCCUUCUUGCGAAUAGUGAGAAGGAUUGACGGUACCGGAAUAGAAAGCCACGGCUAACUACGUG